rnacentral:misc_RNA from 1 species
UCUCCGUUGGUGAACCAGCGGAGGGAUCAUUGCUGGAACGCGCCCCAGGCGCACCCAGAAACCCUUUGUGAACUUAUACCUUACUGUUGCCUCGGCGCAUGCUGGUCCUCCGGGGCCCCUCACCCCCGGGUGUUGAGACGGCACGCCGGCGGCCAACCUAACUCUUGUUUUUACACUGAAACUCUGAGAAUAAAACAUAAAUGAAUCAAAACUUUCAACAACGGAUCUCUUGGUUCUGGCAUCGAUGAAGAACGCAGC